rnacentral:rRNA from 1 species
UACGAGGGGGGCAAAUGUUGUUCGGAAUCACUGGGCGUAAAGGGAGCGUAGGCGGGUUUUUAAGUCAGGUGUUUAAUCCCGGGGCCCAACCCCGGACCGGCACUUGAAACUGGGAAUCUUGAAUAGGGGAGAGGUCAGUGGAAUUGGAGGUGUAGCGGUGGAAUGCGCAGAUAUCGGGAGGAACACCGGUGGCGAAGGCGGUUCUCUGGGCCUGACCUGACGCUGAGGAGCGAAAGCGUGGGGAGCGAACAGG